AGUGAACGCUGGCGGUAGGCCUAACACAUGCAAGUCGAACGGCAGCACAGUAAGAGCUUGCUCUUACGGGUGGCGAGUGGCGGACGGGUGAGGAAUACAUCGGAAUCUACUUUUUCGUGGGGGAUAACGUAGGGAAACUUACGCUAAUACCGCAUACGACCUACGGGUGAAAGCAGGGGAUCUUCGGACCUUGCGCGAUUGAAUGAGCCGAUGUCGGAUUAGCUAGUUGGCGGGGUAAAGGCCCACCAAGGCGACGAUCCGUAGCUGGUCUGAGAGGAUGAUCGGCCACACUGGAGCUUAGACACGGUCCAGACUACUACGGGAGGCAGCAGUGGGGAAUAUUGGACAAUGGGCGCAAGCCUGAUCCAGCCAUACCGCGUGGGUGAAGAAGGCCUUCGGGUUGUAAAGCCCUUUUGUUGGGAAAGAAAAGCAGCAGGUUAAUACCCCGCUGUUCUGACGGUACCCAAAGAAUAAGCACCGGCUAACUUCGUG
rnacentral:rRNA from 1 species